GUGUGGUGGGAGAGCCGAAGGAAUACUUAUUGAAGUAGUCACAACGACGACAUCACUAGCUAGGCCGCAUAUUCCAUCGCCAGAUCCGAACCAAGCGAAGUGAAGGAAGACGGGUGUCCUUUUCGUACACUGAGUGUGGUGGGUGAGUCUUCAUGCUGUGAAAACCUAUAAUUUUGACGUGGUGCUGUAUAUUGCUGUGGGCUGCUGUGUAUUGCCGUGUGUCCUGUCAGAUAAACCCCCGCCUUCACGCACUUCGUCGCGGGAGGACAAGGAGACUGCUGGUCCUAGCCUAGUUCAGUACAGUAUAUGUUGUGAGCGUGCUUCAGAUCUCCGGAGAUAGCACAGUACGCUGUGUCCAGCCCAGAGGUGAAAGCCAUCCAAAGCAGAGUAACUGUGCUUUGCGUCCAAGUUGAUACCUGUGGAGAGGAAAGGAAAGAGAGAUUGAUACCUGUGGAGAGAAAAGGAGAGAGAGUGAAUAACACGAGGAGAGACCGAGGAAAC
ensembl:lncRNA